GCACUCAGUCCAGAGGAAUUCUUAACCAAACAGCGUCCAGCAUCCCCCUUCCAGGUGUAGAUUUUGGCUGCAAAGAGGGGCGAGGUGACAGAGCUUACAGCCGUAACGCGUGGUAGCCGGCUCGGCCAGUCAGCCUCCCGACAGCUAGCUACUGAACCAGUGCCUUUCAGCCCCAGCUCUCAAGCAGUGAGCUCUCAGCAGCUUCAGGCCUGGUCAGUUCUUGGGAAGAAGGACUGCUAAGCAGAGAUGGGGUCCACCUAUCGAGGAAGGAGAAGAGCAUAUUUGGCUACAGACUGGCUAAUUUCGUGAGGAGGGCUUUAAAGUAGGUUCGACUGGGGCAAGAGAUCAAAGCCCACAGUUAGGUGCUGCCCUCCCCCCUAGAGAUAGCAGCAUUCAGAUUCUGAGGUCGGUUACACGGAGCAUCUCUCCUGAGGCAAGAACCAACACAGCACUGAGCGAGAGAGAGAUCCAGAUUCUAGCUUGCGUUGCUCAUGGUCAAAAGAAUUAACAAAACGGUGACGUUAUGUGAAUUGUUUCUUUAAAUCUGUAGCAAUCCGCCAGGCAGCACUGAAGCUCGGGGAGCUUCUAGGUAGAGCUCUACAGUAAAGCAGAGAGAAACAGAGGCGCUUUAGGGUUAGCAUUGCGAUGCGUAUUCUAAUAAAGGUCCAUGUUCUGUGUUGGAAGAAAGUGAUGCUCUCUAGGAUUCUUUGCCACUGGCACAUGACGGUGUCAGAGAGAAACUCGUUCAGGAGCAGGAUCAAGAACAGGAAAAGAAAACUGCCAAAGUUCAGGGCUGCCCAGCCCUUUGGGUUUGACAAGCCCAUGGACUGGCCUGAAUGAAAGGAGUUUCACCAAAUCCCAAGCUGCAAUGAA